rnacentral:rRNA from 1 species
AAAUUGAAGAGUUUGAUCAUGGCUCAGAUUGAACGCUGGCGGCAGGCCUAACACAUGCAAGUCGAACGGUAACAGGAAGCAGCUUGCUGCUUUGCUGACGAGUGGCGGACGGGUGAGUAAUGUCUGGGAAACUGCCCGAUGGAGGGGGAUAACUACUGGAAACGGUAGCUAAUACCGCAUAACGUCGCAAGACCAAAGAGGGGGACCUUAGGGCCUCUUGCCAUCGGAUGUGCCCAGAUGGGAUUAGCUAGUAGGUGGGGUAAC